AUGGCGCACCACAUCGCCAGAGACAUGGCCUACUCCGCCAUAGGUGGUAGCUCCGGCGAGGGUUCGGCUGUUCCCCGGCGGACGACUUCAGCUCCGGCGAGCGCCUUCGAUCUCAGGCGACAAAGUUCUGCUACGCGCAUGUACCGAGAUCCUCCAAUUGUUUUCUCUGAUGCUCCUCCGGCUGGAUCCGCUGCAAAUUGGCAUACCGAAGAUGGGGCGGCAAAUGAGGAGAGUUUUGUUCAGCAACCUUUCACAAGUCAUGGUGGUGGGGAUUCAGGUGGUGUCCUAAACACUCACGGUGGAAUGCAUGAUGCAGAUGAGGAUGAUGAUAUUUCAUCUCAGCCACUUCUGCCCUAUGUUGGCAUGGAAUUUGACUCAAUUGAAGAUGCCCAAAAGUUCUAUAAUGACUACGCAUUUGGAACGGGUUUUGGCUCACGCAUAGCUUCCUCAAAGAACAGCCAGAAGAAAGGUCCACAACAACUUAUCAAGAGGGUCUUCCAAUGUGUGCAUGCUGGCAAACCGGAGACUACAUGUGAGACAAGCAGCCACUCGGAAGGAAUUGCAGCAGGGGGAAGCUCAUCAAGCAAGCAGGCCGGGGUUGAAAUGGAUGUGACAGUCAAGCGUCAGAGGAAUCGGAUUAUGCGUUAUGAUUGCAAAGCUCAUAUGAUUGUUGGCCUCAGGGGCAAUAAGUGGGUUGUUACCUACUUUGUUGCACAGCAUACACACCCUUUGAUGCAGCAUGAGGAGAUUGUGAGGUUCUACCGCUCACACCGCAAAAUUCCAGAAGAAGAUUACCAACUACUGAUGCCAAUGCAUGAUGUAAACUUGUCAACUACAAAUUGCAUGGGAAUGCUUGGAAUGGUCCAUGGCGGAGACCGGAGGAAACUGCCAUAUGUGAAGAGGGAUGUUUCAAAUGCGCGUUCCAAGCUGCGACAAAAUCAGUCAUUUCAGGACAUGGAUAUGACGGUUGCUUACUUUAAGAGGCGUCAAACUGAGAAUGCUCAAUUCUACUACGCAACAGAAGUUGACAAAGAAACAAACGAAGUGACAGCUCUGUUUUGGGUGGAUGGAAGGACAAGAGCAUUGUACCCAAAGUACAAAGAUUGUGUGUUCUUUGACACAACAUUUUGCACAAAUCGGUACAAUCUGCCUUUCGCUCCUAUUGUUGGUGUGAACAACCACUUGCAAACCGUGCUGCUAGGUUGUGCCUUGGUGCCAGAUGAACAAAUAGAAACUUUCAAGUGGGUGUUUCAACAUUGGAUGAUUGCAAUGAAUAAUGAGCACCCGUUGAACCUAAUGACUGACCAGGACAAGGCAAUGGAAACAGCAAUAAAAGAUGUCUUCCCAAACACAGUGCAUAGGUGCUGCAAAUGGCACAUCCAGCGAAAAGCAAGGGAAAAGCUGGGUAGGAUCCUGAGCAUGGAUGAAAAUUUUGAGCAGGUUUUCUAUGGGGUUAUCAAUGAUUCGGAGACGGUGGAUGAGUUCGAGGAGAAUUGGCAGCAUAUGCUGCAUUGCUUUGAAUUGGUUGACAACAGACAUCUAAGCAACAUGUGGCGUAAGCGAGAGACAUGGGCUCCAGCAUACUUCCGAAAGAACUUCUUCCCAUUUACAAGCACUACAGGGCGGUCUGAGGGUCUCAACUCCUACUUCAAGACAUUUGUCAACCCUCAAGACUCUGUCUGGAGAUUUGUACAACAAUAUGAGGUGCUUCAAGAAACAAUGUUGGACCGUGAAGACAAUCAAGCUUUCAUAGGCCACGCAACAACUGCACCACUUUACUCAAGGUACAACUUUGAGCACCAAGCAGUUCACUUCUAUACCCGAAGCGUGUUUCUCAAGUUUCAAAAAGAGGUCAUGGCAUCAACAGGCUUCAUCAUGAACCUGGCCCCUGCUCUUGACAAUGCAAGCGUGAGGUUUGAGCUGCACUCAAAUUACUUUGAGAACCCCCGAAUAUUUUCAGUGAAUGUUGUGUUGGCGAGGAGAAGUUUGAAUGCAGCUGCAACUGUUUUGAGAUGA
rnacentral:rRNA from 1 species